CAAUGGAGAGGGUGGAAUCUGGAAGGGACCUGAGAGCCAAGAUAUAUGCGAAGCUCAGCAAAGAAAACUCACUGCACCGGGCUGAGCCAGGCGCAUCAGCACCCGAUGUUGGUUGGGUUUCUGAGCUGGUAAAGUGAAGCUGAAUCCGAGUCAAAUCUGCAUGGAAUUUAAUUCUUUAUGCUGUUUUCUAAUGGAUAAUUAUUUUCG
rnacentral:misc_RNA from 1 species